AAUGACACAAGUAUUCAGUACUUUGUUGAAUCCAGCCAGGAUUCAUUUUUGGUUAGACAUGACAUGUUUCAAACACCUGGAUUUGGGGAUUUUCUGCCAUUGUAUUCUGCAGAUCCUCUCAAGCUCUGUAGGUGGAGAACAUUGAUAGACUGUUUUCAGGUCUUAUCACAGAUUUCUGGCCAUUUGAGGCAGAAACGAACAGGUUCACUAAUGGACCAAUCUCAAUGGCAUUUAGGCCUUGUAGCUGUUCUCUGUUCAGAUGUGUCUGACACCAGCAAGGGCACUCUUAAUGUCAGUCUGGAUUUGUUGCAGGACAACAAAAAAUGUUGUGAGUUUGACUGGAGUUCAGCAGCUUCCCAGUUUGAGUCCUGCCUCUGUGUGUGUGUGUGUACCUGUUCAUUUUCCGUCCUGCAUCCUUAUUAGUUCAUGUCCGACUUGCUCCUGCACAGUUAUUUAGCUGUUAGUUUAAAAUAAUCACUGUAGUUCAUAAUUACGCCAUUAGUAUUUUAUAAAUUUCUCUAUUCCUGUGCAAUCAUGGUGAAUGUAUUAUCCAUUCUAUAAGAAAAAAGGUGAGCAAGGAAGAUUUGUCUUUGUGCAAAGAUAAAGAGAAAUCUCAAUGAGUAGGUCUCCUUUUUAAAUCUGUUUUUAAUCCUACUUGUCUUCCCUGCCCUGAGAUUCAGACUUUUUGCAGGCUGGUCAGCAGAGAUACAUAAUCCUUUGAAAUAUGUCAAAUAAAAUAUCUUUUAGCAUUACUCGCGAGAAACGUGAAGCUUUGUUCAAUUUAAGGCAUGGCCUUACUGUUAGAAUACAGCCAGGGGAGAAAGAUAACAGUAUUGUGGUUAUGGACAUGUCGUCACAUUUAGAGAAAGGCUUUUAGACAAGUGAUGUAUUUUACUAUAAGAUGUUAAAAAUGGAUCCAAUGCCUGAUAUUUUCGUGAUCAGUUCUACAAUAGAUGCUGCUUGGUCUUCAGAAUUAUUUAAUGCGGAUUUAGCUUGACGGUAAUGCGAUCAACACUUCAUUUUUCUCACAGGUUACAGGUACAGUAGGUACACCAGAAGAAUUAUUUUGGUAAUCCUCCUGAUCAGCCUUUCAUCUUGGCCAGCAGUUCCAUUUUACAACUAUUGAUCAAGCUGCUUCCCUUCCUGGCUCUCAUGUUAGGUCUCCGCACAUUUUGUGUGCCUUUUUAAUGAAAUUAUUCAUCUUGAAGAUUACAUUAUGGCCAGUAUAGAUAUAGGACCUGUAUAUUCCUACAUUGCUUUAACAGCUGUUCAUCUUGAAGAUUAAAGUUCAGUGUUGUCAUUGUAUACUUAUCAGUUAGAUUUAAGUUCUCUUAUUCAUCAACAUACACAUGUGACUCUUAAUUGGAAUUUUUUAUUUAACAAUAUAUUUUUUUUUUUGAUGAUAAAUAGGCGUUGCGAUGAUUGAUGCCUUUAGUCCAAGCAUCGCCAGUCUGUUUUUGUUUCUAAUUUUGUGCAACAUUAUUUUAUUUUCUUCCAGUAAUCCGUUUAUAUUGAGAUUUUUUUUUUUUAUUCUUUUUAUUUGACUUUGAUGAAAUUGAAGAUGUUUCUCUGAACGGAACCCUCAUAUAUCCUUUUACACUUUAAGUCAUUUUUUUUUUUAGAUAUUGUCAUUAGUGUUAAUAAAUUCUUUCAGUCCUUAUUGUAUAGAAAACUGACUGACUCAAUUACUUUACUUGGUGCCACCAGCUUUCAUUCCAGAUCACACAUCAACAUUCCUGUUUCUCAGGUUUCUUGUAUAUGAUGAAACUGUUGAGACCAUCAGGAUUUCAUCUGCCAAUAAUUUGAAAAUAUUGUUUUUUUCUGAAUGGGCUAUUUAAAAUAUGUAUUUAAAUAUGCAGUUUAUAUUGACAGCAACCAUUUACUCGUGUAUAACAACAGAAGCCAUCAUUGAAUAAAGUAUAUAGUCUUGCAUAUUCAAACUGUGCUAAUUGUAUUUGCUGUAUUUUAAAACAUGAGCACAUGUGUAGCUUACCAUCUGUUUCCUCUACAUCUCCCCUCUUUGCGGUCUCCAUUAGAUAGAUAGAUACUUUAUUAAUCCCAAUGGGAAAUUCACAAAUUAUCAUUAUUCAUAAUAUUAAGGACUAGUCAUUUAGCCCGUUACAAUAACGGGCGCUAGAACAGUAGUGCAUAAACAUUAGUAGGAACAGUCUAUAUUAAAUGGCAAGGGACUUUGACCUCAUUCUUUUUGUUGGUCGUAUUUUUCUUUCUUUCAGCCUUUCUUUUGUUGAUGUUUACUUGCUGAGCUGACCGUUCUUCGUGGGCUGCCGCCGUGUAUUGUGUGUCUUUAAUUUUCUGUGACAGUAAUACUGUCUUGUACGGCUCUAUUCAAUAAGGGCGUGUAGAUAAUUUAGUUCAAAUGGCUCUGGAAUAUGUGAAGAGCAACAGGUGCAGAUCUUUAUUUACGCGCGCCUUUAUUCGCUGCGCCCAAUUGAGGUCGUCCUUUUGAGGCUCGCCUUUUUGUGCGCGCCCUUAUUGAAGGAUACCGUCUUGUACGUCCGCUGGCUUGUACGUCCGUAAUAUACGUCCGUACGUCUUUAAUAUACCUUUAAUUUUCUCUGGCGGUAAUACAGGCAUGCGCGUCGGUAAUAUGCCUUUAAUCUCCUCUGACAGUAAUACUGGCUUGUAUGUGGCUGUAAUAUGCGUCACUGUAUUGUGUAUCUUUAAUUUCCUCUCGCAGUAAUACUGGUUUGUAUUUCCGUAAAACGCCUCUAACUUUCUCUGACAGUAAUAUCGCGCGCCACACCGUGCCCCGCGCAUGCGCACUUCACCAGAAGACACCCACACAUGGACACCUGGACGCACAUAGGGAUUUUAUAUAUAUAUAGAUUAUGUAGUUAAUCACCUCCUUACCUACUAUAACUCACUCCACAUUAUUCUGCGGCAUUCUCUUCUGUCUUCAAAUUUCAUUAGAAACAAGUUGCAUGAGGUAUUUCAGUUGUUAGUGUGUGGUUUACGUAUAGCAUGUUAGCAUCACUGUAUUGAUUAUAUUACCUUGAUGCUUCAUAUACAGCAGGGAAAGUAAGUAUUGAACGUGCCAACGUUUUUCUCAGUAAAUCUAUUUCUAAUGGGGCUAUUGACAUGAAAUUUACACCAGAUGUCGGAAUCAACUCAAGUAAUCUGCACAUAGAAAGGAACCAAAGCAAAUAAGUCCAUAAAUUAUGCGUAAUAAAGUGGAAUGACACAGGGAAUAAGUAUUGAACACGCUUAAUUAAAUUUAUUUAAUACUUAGUAGAAAAGCCUUUAUUGGUAAUGAGAACUUCAAAUCGCCUCCUGUAUGGAGAAAAUAGUUGCAUGCAUUGCUCAGGUGUGGUUUUGGCCCAUUCUUCCACACAAACUGCCUUCAAAUCUUGAAGGUUCCAGGGGCCUCUUCUAUGAACUCUGAUCUUCAGUUCUUGCCAUAGAUUUUCAGUUGGAUUCCAGUCGGGUGAUUGACUUGGCCGUUCUAGCAGCUUUAUUUUCUUUCUCUGAAACCAAUUGAGUGUUUCUUUGUCUGUGUGUUUUGAGAUCCUUGUUUUGCUGAAAUAUCCACCCUCAUUUUAUCUUCAUCCUGGGAGAUGGCAGCAGAUUCUUAUUAAGAAUGUCCCGGUACAUUUCUCCAUUCACCCUUCCUUCAAUGCCAGUACCAUAUGCUGAAAAACAGCCCCACACCAUGAUGUUCCCACCUCCAAACUUCACUGUUGAUAUGGUGUUUAUGGGGUCCAGUGCCAUUUCUCCUCCAAACAUGCUGUGUACAAUGACAUCCAAAGAGUUCCAUUUUGCUCUCAUCUGACCAGACUGUAUUCUCCCAGUAUUUCAUUGGCUUGUCCAAAUGUUGUGCAGAAAACUUAAACAAGCUUCAACGUGCUUUUUCUUCAGCAGUGGAGUCUUGCGCGGUGAGCGUGCAUAGAGGCAAUAGCGGUUGAGUGCGUUUCUUAUUGUUUUCUUUGAAACAACUCUACUUGCUAAUUCCUGGUCUUUCUGAAGCUCUCCAUGAGUCAUCCUUGGCUCUUGGGUAACUCUUCUGAUUCUGAUUCUUUUGACUCCUCUGUCAGAAAUCUUGUGAGGAGCACCUGGUCGUGGCCGGUUUAUGGUGAAAUUCCGGAUUAUGGCCCCAACAGUGCCCACCUUUUAGAAUCAGAAGUUUAGAAUUUAGUCUGUAACCAAUGCCAUCAGCAUGUUUUGCAACAAUAAGGUUGUGAAAGUCUUGAGAGAGCUCUUUGUUUUUACCCAUCAUGAGAUGCUUCUUAUGUAACACCUUGGUAAUGAGGAACCUUUUUUAUAGGCCAUCAGUUAGGACUAAACCAGCUGAUAUUCAUUUGCACUGAUAGGAGGCUAUCGGGAUUGCUUUCUAAAUACUGACCGAUGUCUGCGAGUUCUUGGCUUUCCAUGCCCUUUUGACCUCCUUUUCUUCAUGUGUUCAAUAUUUUUUUUCCCUCUUUCAUUCCACUUUUUUACACAUAAUUUAUGGAUUUAUUUGAUUUCAUUUCUUUGUGUGUGAGGAUUACUUGGGUUGUUACCGACAUCUGGCGUAAAAUUCAUGUCAAUAGCCCCAUUAGAAAUAAUGUUUACUGAGAAAAACGUUGACACGUUCAGUACUGAUUUUCCCUGCUGUAUGCCCUCUAAGAGCUGCAACCCCCACGUAAUGGCUGUAGGCAUUCAUUUGAGUUGCUGUGACAAAGCAGAAGUGUUAAUGCAGCGAGAUACAGUGACCAUUGAGCCACUCCAAUCAAUUUUUAUCACAUACUGGGGAUCUUUUUUGAAAUACAGUCCAUACUUUAUUAGCUCUGUCACUGAAUAAUUCUGUCUGUGUUUCAGUUAUCAGUGAGUGCCCCCUGCUAUCUGACAUUGAAAUGGUUGAGGGUUCAAAGGUGGGUGAGCCCUGCACUCUCAGGUGCACCAUUUCCAGGUUUUUCCCAAGUGAUCUCACAGUGACCUGGCUGAGGGUCAGAGCAGAGGAGGGACAUCAACCUGUUACUGCAGGGAUGGCUGAAUGGAGAGCAAUAAUAAACACAACUAGGCCGGAGAGAAGAAAUAACACCUAUGAGGUGACCACUGAAGUCCAGUUCACUCCUAGCAGUCUAGGCGAAGUGGAGGAGAUGACAUACAUCUGCAGGGUGGAGCAUGUGGCCCUUGUGGGAGAGGCCAUUGAGAAGAAGUCCGGCAAACUGGAGUUGGCUGCUGAUGACAGACCUCCCCAGCUCUCUAAUGUGCAGAUUUACUUCACUGAAUUUAAUCAGCCCUGCACCCUGACCUGCAUCAUUUCAGACUUCUACCCCAAAGACAUCAAUGUCACCUGGAUGAGGAGACACAAAGAAACACAGAGGACUGACAUGGCUGAGUCAGAGAACUGGAAGGCCACGGUGUGUCAUUAUGGACCAACCUUAAAAAAUAAUGAAUACUCGCUGGUGUCUAAGUCUGAAUUCACCCCACAGACCCUGAAUGACCUGGAGGAGAUGGAGUUCAUCUGCAGAGUGGAACACAAGACCCUGAAUGAUAUGCCCAUUGAGAAGAGCUCCUCAGUGAUUCCUGGUUUGCAGAAGCGGCCCAUUGUGUCAGCUAUACAGGUGACUGAUUGUGGUGUGUUUAACCAGCAAUACAACCUGAGCUGCUCCAUCCAGGAUUUCUUCCCCAAAGACAUCAAAGUUACCUGGCGUUCAGAAACAACAGGUUAUGGCUUUGGUGGCAACAUCAGUGCUUUACCUUAUGCUCCUCAGAGAGGAAGAAGAAGCUAUCGUGUGGUUUCUAAUGCCACCGUCUUCCCCCAGCAUAUGAAUUCCAUAGAAAAUGUGAUCUGUACAGUGGAGCAUGAGAGUCUGAAUGGGAAAUCUAUUGAGCUACGGAUUGGGAAGUUGCCCAGGUGAAUGCAUCUGUCUGCAAGUCAUGAAGUACAGGAAAACAUCUUCUAAUUUCCCAGUCUGAAUGGCAGUUGUGGGUCCUGAAUCCACAGACUAGCUGUUGUAUACUGUAGUGUUUUUUCAUUGAUUUUAAUUAGAAGUAGAUAACAUUCCAUACAAUCAACAAAGAAAACCAAAAUUCAACCCCCACCCAAGAAAAAGAGAGGAGAACCAGCAAAUGAAGCUACUGUAUAAAAAUAAGAAAGGAAGGGAAUCAUCUUCCCUUGAAAUGGAAGGUUAUUUUAAAAUGUUAUUUAUUACAUCCUGCCAUAUUUUUAACAUGUUUUGAACAGAUCCUCUAAGAGAGAAUUAGAUUUUUUCCCAUUCCAAAUAGUAUUAAACAUCAGUAACCCACUGACUUAAGAGUGGUGGGGUGGGAUUCGAGCAAAUUAGGUUUACGUGCCAAUAGUGUAGUAAAAGCAACUUUACUUUAAGACUAUCUGGGAGUCCACCAAAUACAGCUGUUAGUGGAUUAGGAGGGAUUUCAACACCAAGGCUGUCUGAAAGGCAUGUGAAAAUUUUCGUCUAAAAUGAUGGUAAUUUGCUGCACACCCAAAACAUAUGGCCCAAUGUGUCUGGAACUCGAUUUUAAUGUUCACAGAUUGAAUCUAGUCCUGGAAACAUUUUGGACAAUUUUAAAUGAGAUAGACGCGCUCGAUUAAAAGAUUUUCAGUUGAAUAAUUGAGUGCUUUGCACAUAGGAAGCUAGAGUGUAUGCUGUGCAUGGCUGCCUUCCACUCCUUUUCUGAAAUAUUAAGUGACAGAUCCUUUCCCCAAUGUACUCUGGAGUCUUUGAAAGGAAGGGAUUUAAAAUAUUUUUUAUAAAAUGUAGAGAUGCUAUCUGUGUCUUCAAGACUGAUCAGUAUUUCUUCUGGAAUACAAGAAGGUGGGAGGUGAGGAAAGUCAGGCAGGUUCUGUUUAGCAAACUUUCUAGCUUGAAAGCAGUGGAAGAAUUGUGACAUGAUGAGAAAUUGAAUUUGAAGCAUAAUUGUUCAUAGGACGUGAAGAUAUUAUCUAUGUUCAUGUCUCUUAAGUGUUUUAAUCCCAAAAAUUAAUUAGUGUAUAUGUUGGACAGGGUGAAAAAGGUGGUUGUCAUGUAGAGGUGCAACAGAUAAAAGCUGCUCCAUCUUAAAGUGUUUUCUACAUUGAUUCUAUAUUCUAAAAGAAUAAAGAGCAAUUGGAUUAUUAGUAUAUUGACGGUAAUUUGUAUUAACUGAGGUUCAUAGCAGGGAAUAUAAAGAAGUACAGAUUUUAUUUCUGUUGCAGACCAGCCUUAUGUAUAUUCAUCGAUUUGUGUUGAUGUCCGGGGGCCUCAUGCAUAACGGCGUGCGUAGUAUUCACCCUUAAUUAUGGCGUACGGACAAAGCAGAAAUGUGCGUAUGCACAAAAAAAUCCAGAUGCAUAAAUCUGUGCGUACGCCAACUUCCACGUUCUUCCGCUACAUAAAUCCCGGUCAGCGUGAAAAGUAACGCACAUGCACGUGUUUGCUGUCCUGCUCCGUCUCCUCUCAGAAUUACGCCUCUUUGAAUAUGCAAGUCAAUAUAAAUAUCCCUUAAGCUCGGUGUUCUAUGAGAAGAAAAUGGAAGAAUUUCAGCGAAUACCAAGUGGAGGCAAGGAAAAACGUACUAUUUGUUGGUUUAAACAGUGAUAUAAACAACAAAAGGAAGUUGUUUGAGUGACAGAGUGUUGAAGAAACUCAAAAGUUUAAAUUCACAAAGUCGCGCUGUGCCUGAAAUAAAAAAAAGUUGUCGCAUAUCAAAGUCACUGUGAAAAGGUGAGUCGUAGCCCACCGUCUGAGUGUCAUAUGGAAGCUUAUUAGGGUACAGAGAAAAAAAAAAAAAUAAUAAUUCAUUACAUUUAUAUAGCGCUUUUCUCAGUACUCAAAGCGCUGUCCACACAGGGAGGAACCAAAUAGGCACACAGUGUCAAAAAAAGCUCAAAAUGUCAACUUUAAUCUCAAAAUUUCCACUUUAAUCAUGUAGCUCAUUUUUUCAUUAAAGUAGAACGUCAUAAACUUCAUCUUAAAAUUGUUUAAAUUACUAGUUUCUCAAAUCCCAUCAUAACUAAAGUAGCACGUUAAAUGCUUUGUUUUGUAUGUGUUCUUCUAUGUGCUCUGUGUGUGAAUCGCUACUUGCUUCUUAAACGGGCUUUCUCUUCCUCCGACAGGACACAGAAUCCAUUACAUUCGUGAUAUUACAGCUCUCUGAAUAAUUUUAAAUACUGAGAUGUAUACAUGAAAUCAUUUUCAUGAUGGUAGGAAUUAAAGCACAUUAUUAAACAUGAGAACACGGUGGUGCAGGGGUAGUGAUGAGCUGGCGCCUUGUCCAGUGAUUGUUCCUGCCUCCCACAAGAUACUUGCUGUGCUGUGCGUGACCUUCAAUUAGAUAGAUAGAUAGAUAGAUAGAUACUUUAUUAAUCCCAAUGGGAAAUUCACAUUAAAUAAGUUAUUGCAGCAGUACUGUCUCUCUCAAACAUACUAACCUCCAAUUCAUGUCCUUCCUUUUCUUUCUCCAAGUACCCAUUCACCACACAAUCAGCUCUGUAAUAGAUGUUAAGCCAUCUGUAAGCUUAGAGCACCAAUUCUUCAAAACUUUUAAGGAACAUUGAAAUAACUUCGUAGUACAUGUUUAAUUACUCUAUCCAUCUGUCCAUCCAGUAUCUUGCCAGUCCCAGCAAGAAUACAGCGCGAGGCAGGAACAAUCCCUGAACGGGGGCGCCAGCUUAUCGCUACCACUGUGUCCUCACAUAUUAAAUUAUUAACAAUAUAGAUUAUUUAAAUGUUAAAAUUUUAUCUGUACAAUGUAAUAAACAUUUUGCUGCAUUUCAUCUUUAAAAUGAUAUCGUCAUCAUAUGUAAAUACACACUUUAUAAAGUGGCUCAGGUUGUGCAAUAUUAUAACUGUAUCGCAAGUUUACAGUGAGGUAAUUGUACUUGUAAGUACAAACACUUCUACCAGGAACACUUGAUGGACUGAUUGAGUGUGUUUAUAGUUCUUGGGAUGAAACUGUUUCUGAACCGCGAUGUCCCUACAGGAAAGGCCCUGAAGCGUUUGUCGUAUGAGAGCAGUUCAAUAGACAGCAUGGCUGAGGCAGCGUGUGCUUGAUGCUGUAUACUGAUAAUUCUCUUUCCGAUCAGCUGCUGUAGAGCUGUGAUUCCAAACUCAGAUACAGUGGGAUAAAUACUUGAGAGUAACAAUGCUGAAACAGCUAUGGUAUUUGGAAUAUUUUGGUCAUUCCGUGGACCAUUAUAUUGUUGCAGGUUAAUUACAAUCAGAUGCCUUAAACUAAUAAACAAUAUGCGGUUAAUUUCAGUGUAUAUGAUAAAGCUGCCUCAGGGAUGUGGAUCUAAAACAGAAAGGGAAACCACACUGGAACAAAAACACUGCUUUGACGCUGGGUGCCGCCAGUUUGCAAAACUGAGCGGAAAACUUGCGUAUGCCAAGGACUGAGUUGGCAUGAAAAUGUGCGUGGCUUUACGCCAAAUUUAGUUUUUAUGCAUUGCAAUGUGAGCGUGCAAACAGGCGUAUGCAACAUUUUUGUGUGUACUCACCAUUUAUACAUGAGGCCCCAGGUCUGUGUAGCUUGUAUAUUUUCCACCCAUUAAUAAAAUUGAAAGUGAGGUAGUGCCAUGCCCCCCUUCUGCUUUAGGUCGUUGCAAAGUCGCUCUUUGGAUGCAUGAAUGUUUCAGGUUGCAAUAAAUGAAGUUAUAAGAGUCUGUUUUCUGAUUUUAUUUUUUAAUAUAUGGGGAUGCUUUGAAAUAGGAAGAGAAGCUUGGAAAGAAGGAAAGAAUGGCCAUCUUAACAAUGUUGAUUCUCCCUGCUAAUAUAAGAUGGAGGGUAGCUAUUCAUGUCUUUUUUUUUUUUUUUUUUUUUAAUAUAAAUUUUGCUGUAAAAGAGCUUUAUAUUUACUUGAGAUAUUUUACCCCCUAAAUAUUUAAAGUGAUCUGCUAAGGUAAAUAGGAUGGUGUCCAGUCCAAUAUUGUGCUACAGAGUUCACUGGAAAAAAUACUUUUAUUCAAAUUAAUUUUAAGUUCAGAUAUCUUAAAAGCAUUUGCAAAUUUUCAAAAGACUGCUGGCACAGAAUUUUGUGGGUUAGAUAUAUACAGUAUCGUGUCAUCUGAAUUUAGUGCUAUAUUUUCAUCAAGUCCUCCUCUGAGUAUCCGCUUUAUCUCUGAUGUCUAUGGCCACAACAGUAUGAUGUCCCCGAUUUUGGAAGCUCAACACACUUGGGUUUGGGCAGUACUGGAUGGAAUACUGUAGUGUUGUACACAUAUGGUGGCGAAGAGUGGAAGGACCUUUACUCCUUAACCACUGGCUGCCUGGGCCCUUCAACAACAGUGGCUCCCUCACUAGCAAGUAGUCACUUCAUCAUGACUUGGUCAUUGUGGUCACUGUCAGCUUAACCAACCAUAGUAUGAUUGCUUGACAGCCUCAAUGGUGUAGGUAUGCUGAUUUGUCCUGUUACUCCUGUUCACUUACAGCUCAUAAAUAUGACUGUUGGAUCAGCUAGACUGAAAGUGACAGCAGUCCAGGCAGUGGCACCAAUAAAAUAUGGCCAAUUUACAUGCAAUUUGAGCUUUCUCUUACCUACUCUCACUUGUCAUGUGAUAACAAACCUUAAAUCUGACUUCUUGAAUUUAUCAUAUGUCACCUCCAGUCCAAGAACCCUGUUGAUUCUGGAGUCAGGACUUUUCAGUGUCCUUGUCUUCAGACCUCAUGAAGUAUGUCCACACUGUUAAUAGUGGCUCCUUUUUGUCACUAUUAUUUAGUAGAGGCCUAUAUAUUAAAGUAAUAUUUCACACUACUUUUCCACUUCUAGUCUUUGAGACACUAUCACUGUUUUAGUUGACACAGCAUCAGAUAUGGCAGUGUUAACUUUUGAAAGUCAAAGAGAGUGUAUAGAACAAGGAGAUUAAAAAAAGAAAUGAAUGAAUGUGUGUACUGUGAGUGAGCCUUGACAGUGAGACGUAACUGGUGGAGGAUUAAUGGGAUAAAAUGUGACAGUCUGCUGGUAUCCAUUGAAGUGCCAUAAGGACGAUUUACUUUGUCUCUUUCAGUGUCAGGACUCCACUUGUGUCUGUUAGUUUUCUGUAGCUCACGUUGGACUUGGCUACAGUCAUCUGUCUGCUGCACUGUGUCACAAUGGCCACUGGAUAGCCAUAGCAGUUUAGAGAGCAUCUUUUUUUUGAUGCUUUUUUUUAGGCUAGCACAUUAUAUAGAACUAGCCAACCCGCAGCGUAGCAUACGCUGCAUUGUGUUAAAACAAAUGCUUUAGGUUGCCUCACAUUUUUAUGCAAUCGUUUUGUUCACCCCACUGAAUUAAAGCUGAAAGUCUGCACUUCAACUGCAUCUGAGUUGUUUCAUUUAAAAUUCAUUGUGGUAAUGUACAGAACCAAAAAGUUGUCUCUGUCCAAAUAUUUAUGGACCUAACUGUAUGUCUGAGUGAUGGGCUAUACAAUAGUACAAGAUUAGUUGUAUUCAAAAUUGGUUGAACAAUUCUGAUGUAAAAUUUUAACAGGGGAUAAGAAAGGUAAUGUAGUACAUCUUCCGCAUAUAACAUUAGACACCAAAGGAGAUCUUGAUAUUCCAUUCGUAUUAAAACGUUUACAGUUUUCCGUUCAAUUAACAAAUCACAGGGACAAACAUUUGAAAACGUCGGCUUAUUUUUUUUAGAGAAAAACGAAAUUCACUCAUGGCCAGUUAUACGUUGCAUUGUCACGAUGUAAGUCCAAACACAGAAUCAAAAUUCAAUGCGAUGUUGACAAAAUUAAUUCCAAAUAUUGUUUUUACUGAAGUUUUACUGUGAAAGUGUACAUUUAAAAAGUAUUUGCGUGUUAAUUUCAAAGUCAAACAGAAUGAAAAUGUAUAACAACAAAUACCUCUAACACAACAUGAAACAUAAUUUUCUUUCAAUUUAUUGCGUUUUACUAUUUUUUACUAUGGUUAAUUACUCGCUGUAAUGUAAAAUAGCUCUAUUAUGCAUAUGUAAGAAUUCCCAUGAAAAUAAAAAUUUGUUUAAAUUGUACAUUUGCUUCCCCAUAUGCGAGCAACAGAGCUGCAAAGUGGCUAGUGCGUAGCACCCGCCUGGGGGUUGGCGAGCAGGGGGCCGAGCCCUGUAGUUUUCCAUAAAUUUAAAACUGUGUACGUUUGAGAGGGUGGAAAAAGGUAGUUCUCGUGCAGAGGUGCCACAGAUAAAAACUUCUCUAUCAUGAAGUACUUCCUACAUUGGUUCCAUAUUCUGAGUGAGUGAAGCACAAUUGAGUUGUUAGUAUAUUGUCGAUAAUUUGCACUUGUACAUAACUUGUACAUCUGGACUGGAUUUCAAGAAAAUUUUAUGUUGUGCGCUUCUGCAGGACCUGCACUGUCUGAACUAUGCACAGUACAAUCUGUGUGCGGUGUGUUGCAUACCCUAGUGCAGGCAGCGUUCCAGGCAUUUCUUGUGAUAGGCGGCCUUCUUGCUACCUGUGCACAUGACCAUGAGGCAAAGCCACUUCAAUUUCAACAGUUAGCUGCUGCCAGGACCAGGCCUCAUGACUCACGACGGGCAUACAGCUGAGUCCCAGUCCCCUCCUCCUCCUCUUCAAGCGUGGUGCCGCAGAGAGAGUGAUAGCCUACCUGGGUACAGUAAGCGACUCAGUUAGUGACUCAGUGAGCGACUGAGCCCAGGCAGCCUCCUCCUCUCCUUGCUACCAUCCACAUGACUUUUUCCUCAGGUCAGCACAAGUUCAGGUGAGCUAGUGAGCCUGAGGAGAGGAGGUCUUGGAGGCAGGAGCAAAGGCACUGCAGCAGGGACACUAUACCAACAGGGAAUUUUAACCAAUACAUACAUUCCAGGGCGACAUUAGGCAGAGACACAUUUAGCACUACAGUACACAAGUACAUCGCCAGUUGUCACUCCCCACAAAACGGCCCUGGUGGUGACGCUACAAUGACCAGUCACAUCUUGAUGGGAAAACACUUGACACAAGAAAUAGGAAGUUUUUCUGGAUUUUCCUAAAGUUGACAUGGCCACACUGGAACUGUUAUCUUCUUGCAAGAAACUCGUUUAAAUGAAAUGCAUCCAAAUAUAUGGAUAGCCCUCGGAAUUGCAACCACUACUCUUCACUUCUGCAAAGAGCUUUUUCAAAACUGAAGCUCAUAGAAAAUGACUUGAAGUCUACAAAGUCACAAGGCCUUGCAAUGAUAAGCACAAACAGAUGUGUCUACGAAGAUAUCGUUGGACGAUAUUAUCAAAGAUUUUGCUACAAGAAAGUCAAGUCAGUCCCAAUUUUAAAAAGACUGUUAUUUGAAAUGUUAAAGCCCUCCAUUUACCAGCAACGUGUUUCUAUUAUUAUUCAUUUGUUGUUGUUCUUUUUCCUAUAAAGUUUGUAGAGUCUGUUAAAUAAGUUGGUUACGUAGAAAGUGGUUCUGUUUUGUUAUAUAGAACAAUAAAAUAAGUUUUGGAAGUUUUGGUACA